rnacentral:pre_miRNA from 1 species
CACUAGUUUCAUAUCCAGAGGAAGACUUCAUUUUAUUUAAUGUUUUCAUUUCACUGAAUAGGGCAGAAUGAAGGAGUCCCUGCCUGUGGUGAGUGACAGUG